rnacentral:rRNA from 1 species
AAAUACGGUCAUAUCACCCUGAACACACCUGAUCUCAUCUGAUCUUGGAAGCUAAGCAGGAUUGGGCCUGGUUAGUGGGAGACAAAAUAAAUUUUCUUAUAUU